rnacentral:rRNA from 1 species
CCUACGGGGGGCAGCAGUGAGGAAUAUUGGUCAAUGGACGAGAGUCUGAACCAGCCAAGUAGCGUGAAGGAUGACUGCCCUAUGGGUUGUAAACUUCUUUUAUAAAGGAAUAAAACGAGGCACGUGUGCCUUUUUGCAUGUACUUUAUGAAUAAGGAUCGGCUAACUCCGUGCCAGCAGCCGCGGUAAUACGGAGGAUCCGAGCGUUAUCCGGAUUUAUUGGGUUUAAAGUGAGCGUAGAUGGGUUGUUAAGUCAGUUGUGAAAGGUUGCGGCUCAACCGUAAAAUGGCAAUUGAUACUGGCAGUCUUGAGUACAGUUGAGGUAGGCGGAAUUCGUGGUGUAGCGGUGAAAUGCUUAGAUAUCACGAAGAACCCCGAUUGCGAAGGCAGCUUACUAAACUGUGACUGACAUUGAUGCGCGAAAGUGUGGGUAUCAAACAGGAUUAGAUACCCUAGUAGUC